rnacentral:rRNA from 1 species
CCUACGGGAGGCAGCAGUGAGGAAUAUUUGUCAAUGGACGAGAGUCUGAACCAGCCAAGUAGCGUGAAGGAUGACUGCCCUAUGGGUUGUAAACUUCUUUUAUAUGGGAAUAAAAUGUUCCACGUGUGGGAUUUUGUAUGUACCAUAUGAAUAAGGAUAGGCUAACUCCGUGCCAGCAGCCGCGGUAAUACGUAGGAUCCGAGCGUUAUCCGGAUUUAUUGGGUUUAAAGGGUGCGUAGGUGGAUUGUUAAGUCAGUUGUGAAAGUUUGCGGAUCAACCGUAAAAUUGCAGUUGAAACUGGCAGUCGUGAGUACAGUAGAGGUGGGCGGAAUUCGUGGUGUAGCGGGGAAAUGCUGAGAUAGUACGAAGAACUCCGAUUGCGAAGGCAGUUCACUGGACUGCAACUGACACUGAGGCUCGAAAGUGUGGGUAUCAAACAGGAUUAGAUACCCUGGUAGUC